rnacentral:rRNA from 1 species
GACGAACGCUGGCGGCGUGCUUAACACAUGCAAGUCGAACGAUGAACCACUUCGGUGGGGAUUAGUGGCGAACGGGUGAGUAACACGUGGGCAAUCUGCCCUGCACUCUGGGACAAGCCCUGGAAACGGGGUCUAAUACCGGAUACCACCAUCGCAGGCAUCUGUGGUGGUUGAAAGCUCCGGCGGUGCAGGAUGAGCCCGCGGCCUAUCAGCUUGUUGGUGAGGAGAAGCUCACCAAGGCGACGACGGGUAGCCGGCCUGAGAGGGCGACCGGCCACACUGGGACUGAGACACGGCCCAGACUCCUACGGGAGGCAGCAGUGGGGAAUAUUGCACAAUGGGCGAAAGCCUGAUGCAGCGACGCCGCGUGAGGGAUGACGGCCUGGUG